CCACGCCCCUGCCUCUAAGCGUCUCUCAUUGGAGGAUUUUCCCAAGUGUUUUCGAUGAAGAGGGGGAGUUAACCGCUGCGUUCACUAACCCAGGCCCGGGUAGAGGCCAGGAGUGGAUGGACCUGGAGUUCUGUGUGCUUGAGCUUGGUCUGGAUGGCCCACUGCUGCUCUUGGACUACCAAGGAUGCACCAAGGAAGAUCAUAAACAGGCAUCCAGGAUUUUCCUGGCAAGAAUACUGGAGUGGGUUGCCAUGCCGUCCUCCAGGGGAUCUUCCCAGUCCAGGGAUGGAACCCAUGACUCCUGUGCAGGCAGAUUCUUUACCACUGAUCCACUGGGCCUGCCAGAGAAACUGCUUAUUUCACAGACGGAUGUUGGGGCUAUAGAUGCUUUCUUGAAAUGGAAGGAUUACUGCCUUAGUCAGGUUCCCUUGAAGAAUGUAUUUUGUUUGUAUUUUGAUGCCUCGACUUAAAAAGCAUGAGCAUGGACUAUCCUUAAUAUGAGGAUAUUAACUCUU
ensembl:lncRNA